rnacentral:rRNA from 1 species
AGUGAACGCUGGCGGUAGGCCUAACACAUGCAAGUCGAACGGCAGCACAGUAAGAGCUUGCUCUUACGGGUGGCGAGUGGCGGACGGGUGAGGAAUACAUCGGAAUCUACUUUUUCGUGGGGGAUAACGUAGGGAAACUUACGCUAAUACCGCAUACGACCUACGGGUGAAAGCAGGGGAUCUUCGGACCUUGCGCGAUUGAAUGAGCCGAUGUCGGAUUAGCUAGUUGGCGGGGUAAAGGCCCACCAAGGCGACGAUCCGUAGCUGGUCUGAGAGGAUGAUCAGCCACACUGGAACUGAGCCACGGUCCAGACUCCUACGGGAGGCAGCAGUGGGGAAUAUUGGACAAUGGGCGCAAGCCUGGUCCAGCCAUACCGCGUGGGUGAAGAAGGCCUUCGGGUUGUAAAGCCCUUUUGUUGGGAAAGAAAAGCAGCAGGUUAAUACCCCGCUGUUCUGACGGUACCCAAAGAAUAAGCACCGGCUAACUUCGUG